GGUGAACGCUGGCGGCGUGCUUAAGACAUGCAAGUCGAACGGCAGUCUUCGGACUGUAGUGGCGCACGGGUGAGUAACGCGUAACUGACCUACCCCAAAGUCGCGGAUAACGAUUCGAAAGAAUCGCUAAUACGUGAUGUGCUGUCAGAUUGUGUUCUGCCAGUAAAGAUUGAUUGCUUUGGGAUGGGGUUGCGUUCCAUCAGCUAGUUGGCGGGGUAAAGGCCCACCAAGGCGACGACGGAUAGCCGGCCUGAGAGGGUGGCCGGCCACAGGGGCACUGAGACACGGGUCCCACUCCUACGGGAGGCAGCAGUUAGGAAUCUUCCACAAUGGGCGAAAGCCUGAUGGAGCGACGCCGCGUGAGGGAUGAAGGUCUUCGGAUCGUAAACCUCUGAAUCAGGGACGAAAGACACUUCGGUGGGAUGACGGUACCUGAGUAAUAGCACCGGCUAACUCCGUGCCAGCCGCCGCAGUAAAAC
rnacentral:rRNA from 1 species